rnacentral:lncRNA from 1 species
CGGCUGGGUGGGUGCGGAGUGCGCCAGCGGCCAAGUCAAGACUCCUUGAAUGCUCAGGAAGGUGUGACUUGCAGAGGAGUUGAUUCCUUCUUAUGUACAUUUACUGGAGAAGUUUACAGCAGGAGACUGGGGUCUGAGACACACGCAUCUUUGUGUGCCCCAAAGAAUAAAGCCCUCAAAGGAUGUGAAGCCUGAACUCACUUCAAAUGCUGGAAAGGCCCUUUCCUUAGCUGAGCUGUGGAGGAACCAGGACUCCUGUGGCACUGCCCUAACGAGGAGGCAGUGCUGCCAGAUUCAGAAAAAUAUUUGAAGAAUCACAUAGUCAAAAGCAAAAAUCCAGAAAUGGUCAAGAGAACUACGAUUAUUGAGCCUCACUGAGUGUUCACACUGGUCUGCAAGACAGCUUUGAUUCAGCUGAUUUCAGCCAGGCUCACCCCGACUUUGCAGGGCGCUGCGAACCCCAGCCUUCAGGUCGGGUUCAGCAUCCAGCAGUGCCCUGGAAAAGUGGCUGUGAAGUUACUUGCAAGACUGCAUUGAACCCGGGCGAGACACUUCUCAGGGGAGCUGUCCAGCUACAUUCUCUGAGUGAAGGUCCUGAACAGCUUGGAGUACUAAGAAGAGCGCUGGACAUGAACUGGAAUAUGUGGGUUCAAAUCCCACCUUUUCACUGCCCAGCUCUGUGACCCUGAGCAAGUGACUCAACCUCUGUGAGCCCCGUGUCCUCUCUGUAAAAUGGAGACAAGGAAUGCAAAGCUCACGGAUGCCGAGGAAUUUAUCCAAGAUCACUGUGAUGGGAUGGGAACUUUGGUUUUCAGCCUUUAAAUACAUUGGUGCAGAAGUCCAAGAAAGAUGCUUGGAAAGACCUAGUGGUA